GAUCUUAUAGUCUAAUGGUUACGACAUCAUCCCUUCACGAUGAAAAUAUCGGUUCAAUUCCGAUUAAGAUUA
rfam:Hanseniaspora osmophila strain AWRI3579 Hanseniaspora_osmophila_AWRI3579_scaffold288, whole genome shotgun sequence.